GUUUCGGACUAGCAGAGAGAGAGGAGAUCCGUGCAAAUCUACAAGACAAAACUAGGCCUGAAGCCUACCAAUUCAGCAGCUUACUAACCAAUCUUCUUAGAAAACGGGUGGACAUACCAUUUGGAAAACAGGUGCUCAGUAGGAUUCAUGGCUUAUAAAAAAAAAAAAAAACACCCCAUACCAUCCAGAACAUAAUCCUGUCUGGCUUUAGCAUCACCUUUGUCCAUAGGCAUGGACAAAGUCCAUUAAAUGAAGGUGGGACUAGCACUCCUCUGGGCUCACUCCUGUCCUAUCAGACUGCAGCAGAGAGGAGAGGGUUGCAGAGCAGCCUGCAGUGAUUGGAUAAAAAAAAACAGCACUCAGGAAAGAAGACGAGUCAUGCAGAGUGAGAACAUACCCCUUUCAAAGCACAGAAUGACAAACCAACCCCUGAGGAAUCGUCCUGGAAACAUUGCCAGACUUCUGUUUUCCAAAAUUGCCUGAAGCCUUCUCAGAAUACUGAUGCCUUUCUAAAGAGUUUGCUAUCAAUGUUAUAUGAGAAUGACUGAAGCCUCGUAUGUGGAUGGAUGCCAAGGGUCAACAGAGGCAUCUUCAUUUAGAGGACAGUUCUGGCUAUAUCAUCUGAGUAAAUUAUCCCAGUCCUUCAUAAUUCAUUUUUCUUUAACUUUUUUUCUUUAUUACAAUUUACUGACUGAUUCUUCUGCCUAGCAGCCACAGUAUGCAGUCCCAAGGUGACUAUGGCUGCCAUUCUUCUUGUGCCGUGGAGAGUGAUGGUCACCUCAGGAGAUAACUCUUCAAUGGUGCUUCCAUAAAAAAACAACACAGGAAAAAGGUGAUCUAGUGAGGCGGACAGGGAGAAUGUGUGAGGUACAACUAUUUCUACCUUUAGUUUAGGGUAUUUUAUAAGAUGUCAUUUUAAUAAUGGAACCCGACAGAGCUGAAAUGUGGUCAUUUCUUUAAAGUUUCAUGUACAUAACC